rnacentral:rRNA from 1 species
AUUGAACGCUGGCGGCAUGCCUUACACAUGCAAGUCGAACGGCAGCACGGGAGCAAUCCUGGUGGCGAGUGGCGAACGGGUGAGUAAUGUAUCGGAACGUACCUUUCAGUGGGGGAUAACGUAGCGAAAGUUACGCUAAUACCGCAUAUUCUGUGAGCAGGAAAGCAGGGGAUCGCAAGACCUUGCGCUGAUUGAGCGGCCGAUAUCAGAUUAGCUAGUUGGUGAGGUAAAGGCUCACCAAGGCGACGAU